rnacentral:piRNA from 1 species
UGGUUAAGCACACGAUGGGGAACUGA